GCCUCCGACGGCACCAGGGGCGGGCGUAGAUCGAACUCCUAAAGCGGGUGUCGCAGGUUCGAAUCCUGCCGGGGGCACCA
rnacentral:tRNA from 1 species